GACGAACGCUGGCGGCGUGCCUAAUACAUGCAAGUCGAGCGAGCUGAACCAACAGAUUUACUUCGGUAAUGACGUUGGGAACGCGAGCGGCGGAUGGGUGAGUAACACGUGGGGAACCUGCCCCUCAGUCUGGGAUACCACUUGGAAACAGGUGCUAAUACCGGAUAAUAAAGCAGAUCGCAUGAUCAGCUUUUGAAAGGCGGCGUAAGCUGUCGCUAAGGGAUGGCCCCGCGGUGCAUUAGCUAGUUGGUAGGGUAACGGCCUACCAAGGCAAUGAUGCAUAGCCGAGUUGAGAGACUGAUCGGCCGCAUUGGGACUGAGACACGGCCCAAACUCCUACGGGAGGCAGCAGUAGGGAAUCUUCCACAAUGGACGAAAGUCUGAUGGAGCAACGCCGCGUGAGUGAAGGAGGUUUUCGGAUCGUAAAGCUCUGUUGUUGGUGAAGAAGGAUAGAGGUAGUAACGGCCUU
rnacentral:rRNA from 1 species